CAGCAGCCGCCGCGGUAAAACGUAGGGUGCAAGCGUUAAUCGGAAUUACUGGGCGUAAAGCGUGCGCAGGCGGUUAUAUAAGACAGAUGUGAAAUCCCCGGGCUCAACCUGGGAACUGCAUUUGUGACUGUAUAGCUAGAGUACGGCAGAGGGGGAUGGAAUUCCGCGUGUAGCAGUGAAAUGCGUAGAUAUGCGGAGGAACACCGAUGGCGAAGGCAAUCCCCUGGGCCUGUACUGACGCUCAUGCACGAAAGCGUGGGGAGCAAACAGGAUUAGAGACCCGUGUAGUCCCUGUCUCUUAUAC
rnacentral:rRNA from 1 species